ensembl:lncRNA
GUUGAGAGUUAUUGUUUAUUUGGUGGAAAUUUUUAGGACUCAAGCCUGGGAGGCAGCAUGUCAAGUAACCCCGAGAGAAGUGUUCAGAGGAGGUGAGGUGGGAAGCCUUGAUGCAUAGGAGCUUUACAACAAAGGGCAAGUAAUCCGAACAUCAAAAGAUUUUUGUAAAUUAAAGAAAACCAGAUAUCUCAAGUUAAGGAAUUUGGUACUUUUCUAUGUAUAGGAAGAUGCAGGAGCCUGGGCUCCCUGAAGUCAUUCCUUCGACAUGUGUCUCAGCUAUCUGGGGCCAGAAUCCUGUGUUUUCACAUCCUGAAUUUCCUCAGGGCUCAUCAUAGGGAGUGGUUGCAGGCUGAUGGCUGCUAGAUGGCAGGUAUUCCUUCCUCCCUGAGUUCCCUCGGAGCUCACCAGUUCACCGUAAAUGUGGCUGCAAUUGUUGACAUCCUCUGUGCGCUGACAUGGUAGGAAAUAUUCCAUUCUCAGUGGUGAGUGGGUGGAGGGGUAAAAUGUCCUCUACAUGUUGGUGGGCAAUCAUGCAUGGUUGGGUGCUUCAUGCCUUAAGCCCUCCUGGAUCUCGCAUACCUGGGAUUCCUGGAGUAUCAUGCAUGCGGCCACCAAUCCGAGUACCCCAACAGGAACAAAGUGGAGGACAUGGAUGGAGCUUUUGCUAGUAAGGAAUGCUUUGGGGGAUGGGAGGAGAUUCCUGCUGAGUGAAGUAUGUGGCUGCUUAGAAAUGCCGUCUGCACCUUGUUUCAUUGAAUGGGUGCCCGGCCCUCUGUCUGAAUGGGACCAAGGCUAGGAGUGCAGGGUGACUUAAUGCUGUCCCUCCCUGAGGGGACAAAGUGACAGAUAGCAACUUGAUGAGGAAGAGAGCUGGGCGGUGAUUUAACUGCUUUACAAGUUCUCCAGGAGCUUGCUCAGGCCUGAGGGGGCGGAAGUCUGGGCAGGACAGUUUGGUUGGGGUGGAUGAGCCACCACUGGUAUCAUGUGCCAAACCACUCCUAGGAAAUUUCCUUAAAGGCCUUUGAAUGAGCCAGUGAUUCCUACCAACAGGUGCUGUGUGGGUCAAGUGGCUUGUUAAGGGUUUUCACAAAUGAGGAGGACUGUCUCUUCCAGAAGAAGGAGGGAACCAGGAUCUAGUUUGACUGCAGAGGCUUGGUGAGGUCCCAGUCCCUAGAGGGGCUGUGGUUCUUUCUCAAGCUCAGACCCCUGGUGGUUCCAGACCCCAUGUAGCAAGUAACCAUUGCCCCGCCUGUCAAGUCUUCCAGGCCCCACCAGACACUCUGGUGCUCCCAGCUUCCUUCAAGCCUUUAGGUGCUAUGUUGCCUCCAAGCUUUCCUCUCUCAGGCUCUGAAGCUCUGCUCUCUCAAGCUCUUUCUCCAGAUGGAGUUUUCCACUGGAGCCUGCAGGUUGGGGACUAGAGUACAGCUCUGCAGGUCCAGCUGGCCAAGCUGUUCCCCCGCAGCUGCUCUGUGAACACUAACAGUUGUUCUCAAUCCCAUGGGUCGAGCCUGGCAGAGAUGUCCUUCAGGAGGGCCUGUGCCCUUCAGGGCUGUGUGCUGGGGCGGGGCCUUCACAGCUGGUUAGAUGUGUGUGGCCUUGGGCGGGUCGCUGCUCCAUUCCUGCCCUGGCCCAUGUCUGAGGUGCCCUUUUGCUCUGGAAAAAAGCCAGAAUU